UACGGAGGGUGCGAGCGUUGUCCGGAAUCAUUGGGCGUAAAGGGCGCGUAGGUGGCCCGGUCAGUUCGUGGUGAAAGCGCGGGGCUCAACCCUGCGUCGGCCAUGAAUACUGCCGCGGCUGGAGCACUGUAGAGGCAGGCGGAAUUCCGGGUGUAGCGGUGGAAUGCGUAGAGAUCCGGAAGAACACCGGUGGCGAAGGCGGCCUGCUGGGCAGUAGCUGACACUGAGGCGCGACAGCGUGGGGAGCAACAGG
rnacentral:rRNA from 1 species